AAUCAACGCUGGCGGCGUGCCUAACACAUGCAAGUCGAACGAGAAAGUGGAGCAAUCUACAAGUACAGUGGCGUACGGGUGAGUAACACGUGACUAACCUACCCUCGAGUGGGGAAUAACCUCGGGAAACCGGGGCUAAUACCGCAUAACAUCUACGGAUCAAAUGCGCAAGCAGCUUGAGGAGGGGGUCGCGGCUGAUUAGCUAGUUGGCGGGGUAACGGCCCACCAAGGCAAUGAUCAGUAGCCGGCCUGAGAGGGCGCACGGCCACACUGGAACUGAAACACGGUCCAGACUCCUACGGGAGGCAGCAGUGGGGAAUUUUGCGCAAUGGGGGAAACCCUGACGCAGCAACGCCGCGUGGAGGAUGAAGCCCCUUGGGGUGUAAACUCCUUUCGAUCGGGACGAUUAUGACGGUACCGGAUGAAGAAGCACCGGCUAACUCUGUGCCAGCAGCCGCGGUAAUACAGAGGGUGCAAGCGUUGUUCGGAAUUAUUGGGCGUAAAGGGUGCGUAGGCGGUGCGGUAAGUCUUCUGUGAAAUCUCCGGGCUCAACCCGGAGCCUGCAGAGGAAACUGCCGUGCUGGAGUAUGGGAGAGGCGCGUGGAAUUGCAGGUGUAGCGGUGAAAUGCGUAGAUAUCUGCAGGAACACCCGUGGCGAAAGCGGCGCGCUGGACCACAACUGACGCUGAGGAACGAAAGCUAGGGGAGCAAACAGGAUUAGAUACCCUGGUAGUCCUAGCCCUAAACGAUGCAUAUUUGGUGUGGGCCAUUCAGUUGGUCCGUGCCGGAGCUAACGCGUUAAAUAUGCCGCCUGGGGAGUACAGUCGCAAGGCUG
rnacentral:rRNA from 1 species